UUGUCGUCAGCUCGUGUCGUGAGAUGUUGGGUUAAGUCCCGCAACGAGCGCAACCCUAUUGCUAGUUACCAUCAUUAAGUUGGGGACUCUAGCGAGACUGCCAGUGAUAAACUGGAGGAAGGUGGGGAUGACGUCAAAUCAUCAUGCCCCUUAUGACCUGGGCUACAAACGUGAUACAAUGGCUGGAACAAAGGGAUGCGAAGCAGUGAUGUGGAGCGAAACCCAUAAAAACAGUCUCAGUUCGGAUUGAAGUCUGCAACUCGACUUCAUGAAGUCGGAAUCGCUAGUAAUCGCGGAUCAGAACGCCGCGGUGAAUACGUUCUCGGGGUUU
rnacentral:rRNA from 1 species